GAUGAACGCUGGCGGCGUGCUUAACACAUGCAAGUCGAACGGUGAUGCCCAGCUUGCUGGGUGGAUUAGUGGCGAAAAGGUGAGUAUCACGUGAGUAACCUGCCCUUGACACUGGGAUAAGCCUGGGAAAAUGGGUCUAAUACCGGAUACGACCACCCGGCGCACGUCGUGGUGGUGGAAAGCUUUGGUGGUUUUGGAUGGACUCGCGGCCUAUCAGCUUGUUGGUGGGGUAAUGGCCUACCAAGGCGUUGACGGGUAGCCGGCCUGAGAGGGUGACCGGCCACACUGGGACUGAGGCACGGCCCAGACUCCUACGGGAGGCAGCAGUGGGGAAUAUUGCACAAUGGGCGCAAGCCUGAUGCAGCAACGCCGCGUGAGGGAUGACGGCCUUCGGGUUGUAAACCUCUUUCGGUAGUGAAGAAGCGAAAGUGACGGUACUGGCAGAAGAAGCGCCGGCUAACUACGUG
rnacentral:rRNA from 1 species